rnacentral:rRNA from 1 species
GGCAGCAGCUAAGAAUAUUCCGCAAUGGACGAAAGUCUGACGGAGCGACGCCGCGUGGAUGAUGAAGGCCGGAAGGUUGUAAAAUCCUUUUGGGAGCGAGGAAUAAGGAGUCUGAGAGAAACGGGCUCUGGUGACGGUAGCUUCUGAAUAAGCAACGGCUAAUUACGUGCCAGCAGCCGCGGUAACACGUAAGUUGCGAGCGUUGUUCGGAAUUAUUGGGCGUAAAGGGCAUGUAGGCGGUCUUGCAAGUCUGGUGUGAAAUUCCGUGGCUCAACCACGGAACUGCGUUGGAAACUGCAUGACUGGAGUCGCUGAGGGGCAGGCAGAAUUCCUGGUGUAGGGGUGAAAUCUGUAGAUAUCAGGAAGAAUACCAAUGGCGAAGGCAGCCUGCCAGCAGAUGACUGACGCUGAGGUGCGAAGGUGCGGGGAGCAAACAGGAUUAGAUACCCUGGUAGUCCGCACAGUCAACUAUGUGCACUGGAUGUCCGGACAGAAGUCUGGGUGUCGAAGCAAACGCGAUAAGUGCACCGCCUGGGGAGUAUGCCCGCAAGGGUGAAACUCAAAGGAAUUGACGG